rnacentral:misc_RNA from 1 species
UUUCCGUAGGUGAACCUGCGGAAGGAUCAUUAAAGAGUUAGGGUCUUUCAGGCCCGACCUCCCAACCCUAUGUUUAUAGAAUCUAUUGUUGCUUCGGCGGAUCCGUCUCGCGACCGCCGGGGGACCGUUAUACGUCCUCUGGCCCGCGUCCGCCGGUGGCCAACCUUAACAAACUCGAAAUAAUCGUGUCUUGUCUGAGUCAAAAUCUUUAAUUAAAACAAAACUUUCAACAACGGAUCUCUUGGUUCUG